UACGUAGGGCGCAAGCGUUGUCCGGAAUUAUUGGGCGUAAAGAGCUCGUAGGCGGCCUGUUGCGUCCGCUGUGAAAUCCCCGGGGCUCAACCCCGGGCGUGCAGUGGAUACGGGCUGGCUGGAGGCAGGCAGGGGAGAACGGAAUUCCUGGUGUAGCGGUGAAAUGCGCAGAUAUCAGGAGGAACACCGAUGGCGAAGGCAGCUCGCUGGGACGGUACUGACGCUGAGGCGCGAAAGCGUGGGGAGCAAACAGG
rnacentral:rRNA from 1 species